rnacentral:tRNA from 5 species
GGACCCAUAGUGUAGCCUGGAUAUCACUGGGGCUUGCGGAGCCUUAAACCCGUGUUCAAAUCGCGGUGGGUCCGCCA